rnacentral:lncRNA from 1 species
UCAAUGAACUUCUCAGGAAAAAUUGGGGCAGAGAUUUUAGUAAAUUCCCAAGUUCCUGCAAGCUGCUCAAAGGCUCCCUACAAAAGGUGUUCUUGCACUCCCUGAGAAAUGCAACUGCUUAGAGCUACUACAACAGAGAAAAGAGCAUGGAGUGCACAUUGAAAAAUAACAGUGUAUGAAGUCUCAAGCAAGAAGCACAAACUGUGUUUGAUUUUCAUUUGCAAUUGCUUUCAUUCCUAUAGAGCCAAACUAAAGACAAUCUGAAAAUACAAAGCGUUCCUCUCAGCAAAUCCUUGAACGUACAAGAAACAAUUAAGAGGGCAAGGUGGGACUGGUGCAAGAAUCAAUCUUGCCCAGUAUCCAGAGCAUUCACUGAAAAACAUGGUCAGAAUUCCAGUAAAUUUGAACCUUAAUGCUAGCUGCUAAAAUGCUCCGAUAAAAGGUAUUACUUCAUGUGAUGAAUACUGCAACAAAAAACAUAGCCAGAGUGCACACCGAGAACUAAGUCUUUGAAGUUUCAAGCAGUUAGCCUAAACCACUCUGGAUUUCCAGUUCAAAAUGCAUUCAUCCUUGUAGGGCAAAAAGAAGUGAAACUGAACAUUCAAAGCAUUCCUGCCAGAGAACCCUGGAACCUGGGAAGACCUAAUAUUGAAGGGCAAGGUAAGACUGGUGAAUGAACAACUUGCCCAGUAUCAACAAAAUCUGGGGAAAAAUUCAUGCAGAAAUUCCAGUAAAUUCACACUUUCCUGCCAGGGCCAAAUCCCACUCAAUCAAAGGUGUUCUUUUAUGUGCUGAGAAAAGCUUUUGCUUGGGGAUACUUCAACAGGGAUGAAAGCAGGGAGUGCACACUUAGAAGUAACUUAGUCUGUGAAGUUGAGAAAACCUUGCACAAACUCUGUUCUAUUUC